UGGGGAAUUUUCCGCAAUGGGCGAAAGCCUGACGGAGCAAGACCGCGUGAGGGACGAAGGCUCUUGGGUUGUAAACCUCUUUUCUCAGGGAAGAAACCUGACGGUACCUGAGGAAUAAGCAUCGGCUAACUCCGUGCCAGCAGCCGCGGUAAGACGGAGGAUGCAAGCGUUAUCCGGAAUGAUUGGGCGUAAAGCGUUCGCAGGUGGCUGUUCAAGUCGGCUGUCAAAGACUGGGGCUUAACUCCGGAAAGGCAGUGGAAACUGAACGGCUAGAGUGCAUUAGGGGUAGAGGGAAUUCCCAGUGUAGCGGUGAAAUGCGUAGAGAUUGGGAAGAACACCGGUGGCGAAAGCGCUCUGCUGGACUGCAACUGACACUGAGGGACGAAAGCUAGGGGAGCGA
rnacentral:rRNA from 1 species